rnacentral:rRNA from 1 species
GGGCCCGCACAAGCGGUGGAGCAUGUGGCUUAAUUCGAGGCAACGCGAAGAACCUUACCUGGUCUUGACAUGCCCGUCAUAGUUUUCCGAAAGGAAUUCGUCGGUUCGGCCGGACGGUGCACAGGUGCUGCAUGGCUGUCGUCAGCUCGUGUCGUGAGAUGUUCGGUUAAGUCCGGCAACGAGCGCAACCCUCGUUCCUAGUUGCCAGCGGGUAAUGCCGGGGACUCUAGGAAGACAAACCUCGUGUAGAGGUGGGAAGGUGGGGACGACGUCAAGUCAGUAUGGCCCUUACGGCCAGGGCUGCACACGUGCUACAAUGCCCGGUACAACAGGAAGCAAUACCGCAAGGUGGAGCAAAUCCUUAAAGCCGGGCCCAGUUCGGAUUGGGGUCUGCAACUCGACCCCAUG